AGUCGAACGGCAGCGCGGGACAACCUGGCGGCGAGUGGCGAACGGGUGAGUAAUAUAUCGGAACGUACCCUGGAGUGGGGGAUAACGUAGCGAAAGUUACGCUAAUACCGCAUACGAUCUAAGGAUGAAAGUGGGGGAUUCGCAAGAACCUCAUGCUCCUGGAGCGGCCGAUAUCUGAUUAGCUAGUUGGUGGGGUAAAGGCCCACCAAGGCUUCGAUCAGUAGCUGGUCUGAGAGGACGACCAGCCACACUGGAACUGAGACACGGUCCAGACUCCUACGGGAGGCAGCAGUGGGGAAUUUUGGACAAUGGGCGCAAGCCUGAUCCAGCAAUGCCGCGUGAGUGAAGAAGGCCUUCGGGUUGUAAAGCUCUUUUGUCAGGGAAGAAACGGUGCGGGCUAAUAUCCUGUGCUAAUGACGGUACCUGAAGAAUAAGCACCGGCUAACUACGUGCCAGCAGCCGCGGUAAUACGUAGGGUGCAAGCGUUAAUCGGAAUUACUGGGCGUAAAGCGUGCGCAGGCGGUUUUGUAAGUUUGUCGUGAAAGCCCUGGGCUCAACCUGGGAAUUGCGAUGAAGACUGCAAGGCUUGAAUCUGGCAGAGGGGGGUAGAAUUCCACGUGUAGCAGUGAAAUGCGUAGAGAUGUGGAGGAACACCGAUGGCGAAGGCAGCCCCCUGGGUCAAGAUUGACGCUCAUGCACGAAAGCGUGGGGAGCAAACAGGAUUAGAUACCCUGGUAGUCCACGCCCUAAACGAUGUCUACUAGUUGUCGGGUUUUAAUUAACUUGGUAACGCAGCUAACGCGUGAAGUAGACCGCCUGGGGAGUACGGUCGCAAGAUUAAAACUCAAAGGAAUUGAC
rnacentral:rRNA from 1 species